rnacentral:miRNA from 1 species
UGUGGACAAGGCCAAGUCCGA